GAUGAACGCUAGCUACAGGCUUAACACAUGCAAGUCGAGGGGAAACGAUAGAGAAAGCUUGCUUUUUCUAGGCGUCGACCGGCGAAUGGGUGAGUAACGCGUAUCCAACCUUCCGUUAAGUAGGGAAUAGCCUUGCGAAAGUAAGAUUAAUGCCCUAUGUGGUGUUUUGAGGACAUCUGAAGAGCACCAAAGGUUUACCGCUUAACGAUGGGGAUGCGUCUGAUUAGGUUGUUGGCGGGGCAACGGCCCACCAAGCCUACGAUCAGUAGGGGUUCUGAGAGGAAGGUCCCCCACAUUGGAACUGAGACACGGUCCAAACUCCUACGGGAGGCAGCAGUGAGGAAUAUUGGUCAAUGGGCGUGAGCCUGAACCAGCCAAGUAGCGUGCGGGACGAAGGCCCUAUGGGUUGCAAACCGCUUUUCAGGGGGAUAAAGUGAGUGACGUGUCAUUCAUUGCAGGUACCCUGCGAAUAAGGACCGGCUAAUUCCGUG
rnacentral:rRNA from 1 species